GCUCCUCCCGUCGUUCACUCCGACGCCACCUCCUCUCUGCUCCGUCCGUCUGCCACCGGCGUUUCCUGAUCAGCUCCUCGUGCCUUGCUGCCUCUUCCCAUGGAGCAAUGCUGCAGGAUCCUAACCGCCCUCCUCUCUUCUCCGCUCUCGAUUCGAUUCUUCCAAGGUAUCUGGAGAUGAUAAUCUGAAGCGAGUGAUUAACUUCGAGAUCCAGUGUGCGCAGGAGGCGCAUGUAAGUGGCCAGGUUGUUGACAUACCAGAAGACUUCCCUUUUUAGAUUGUUGAUAAUCCUGGUGAUCAAGCAAUUUUUCUUAAACGGGACUUUGCUGGUGAGAGCAUCCAAUUCACUGUGCUGAUGAACUUAGAUGGACAAAUUUGAUGUUGAGGAGAAUAACAAAGAUGAUAAUGACGACAAUUAUGUGGAGCCUACACUUUCUUUGGUUGUGACAAUUGAUAAACGAGAAGGCCCUUUACUAGAGUUUUGUUGCAACCUCAAUUGGGAAGAACUUGGAAUCGAUACCAUGGUCUUCAAGAAACGUGACGAUCCUCGAUUCUGAUGACCAAAGUGCGUAUCAAGACCCUGAAUUUGCUUAAGUUCUGUUCUUUGCAUUUAUACUUGUUAUUAUGCAGCCCUUGGUAACUUAGGCAUUAACCAACUUGUUUAUUUUAAUAUAUGUUUGUUUUAUUCUAGAAUCAGUGACUUCAAAGAUACGUAUGAACAAGUAUUGAACUGCAGUGAUUUAACCUUGUGAAGGACUGUAACAUACAUGCCUAUGCCACUCGAUGACAAAUAGAUUUUCCUACCACUGCAGGAAAUGCCAAACUUAAGUGUUUGUUUUUGAAACUAGAGCUGUUAUAACUUGGUAAACCAAGUGUUUAAAUUUAGCUUUUGCAGAGAUCACCACAACUGUAUCAUAGUUUCUGCAGAUCAUUCUUACUAGUUACUGUCGGUGCUAGUAGGUGAUAGAAUUGGCAGCUGUUCUUAUUUAUCGUUCUUACAUGUUUAACUAAGUAGUUAACUUGGUUCUAUUCAUGGUUCUUCCAAUCGAAAUUUAUGCAGGGUCUUGGACAAGAACUUGCAGGAGGCAAUGCACAAAUACCUCGAGGAAAGAGGCAUAGAGAGUUCACUAUUUGAUAUUUUGCACGAGUACAUGUUAAAUACGUUGGACAAUCUUAUUAUCAGAGAUAUAGGAGAAAUAUUCCAAAUUUAUAAAACCUAAAUUUAGAUUUAUUUGUUGAUAGAUUUGAGCGGAUGAUCUCAAGCGGCUAGCGAGCU